rnacentral:rRNA from 1 species
UAGGGGGCGAGCGUUGUCCGGAUUUAUUGGGCGUAAAGAGCUCGUAGGCGGUUUGGCAAGUCGGGUGUGAAAACUCCGGGCUCAACUCGGAGACGCCACUCGAUACUGCCAUGACUUGAGUCCGGUAGGGGAGUGCGGAAUUCCUGGUGUAGCGGUGAAAUGCGCAGAUAUCANGAGGAACACCGGUGGCGAAGGCGGCACUCUGGGCCGGAACUGACGCUGAGGAGCGAAAGCGUGGGGAGCGAACAGGAUUAGAUACCCUGGUAGUCCACGCCGUANACGUUGGGCACUAGGUGUGGGGCUCGAUCGACGGGCUCCGUGCCCGUAGCUACGCAUUAAGUGCCCCGCCUGGGAAGUACGGCCGNCAGGCUAAAACUCNAAGGAAUUGACGGGGGCCCNNGCACAGCGGCGAGCAUGGUGCUUAAUUCGAUGNCACGCGAAGAACCUUUACCANGGCUGACAUGUANGGAAAAGCCGUANAGAUACNGUGUCCUUCGGGGACCUACACACAGUGCUGCAUGGCUGUCNUCANCUCGUGUCNUGAGAUGUUUGGGUAAGUCCCNGCACGAGCGCACCCNUNNAGCUANNUGCAUCAUUAGUUGGGCACUCUAGNUGACUGCCGGUGACAACGGAGGAAAGGGGGGA